rnacentral:rRNA from 1 species
GACGAACGCUGGCGGCGUGCUUAACACAUGCAAGUCGAACGGUAAGGCCCUUCGGGGUACACGAGUGGCGAACGGGUGAGUAACACGUGGGUGAUCUGCCCUGCACUUCGGGAUAAGCCUGGGAAACUGGGUCUAAUACCGGAUAGGACUCCUGCCUGCAUGGGUGGGGGUGGAAAGCUUUUGCGGUGUGGGAUGGGCCCGCGGCCUAUCAGCUUGUUGGUGGGGUGAUGGCCUACCAAGGCGACGAUGGGAAGCCGGCCUGAGAGGGUGACCGGCCACACUGGGACUGAGAUACGGCCCAGACUCCUACGGGAGGCAGCAGUGGGGAAUAUUGCACAAUGGGCGCAAGCCUGAUGCAGCGACGCCGCAUGAGGGAUGACGGCCUUCGGGUUGUAAACCUCUUUCAGCAUCGACGAAGCGAAAGUGACGGUAGGUGCAGAAGAAGGACCGGCCAACUACGUGCCAGCCGCCGCCGUAA